rnacentral:tRNA from 1 species
CAAGAGGUAGUUUAUAUAGAAAAUACUAGUUUUGGGGACUAGGGAGGGAAUUUCUUUUUUCCCCUCUUGA